GAAACUAUACUGGCUGUCUUGGGUCAUCUCCUCAUCUUGCAUAUACUUUAUCAUCUCUUCCAGGAGGAUCCACUCCAUGAUCUUCCCAGACACAAAGCCUGGAAUGAUCAUGUCUUUUGAACAAGUCACUUCUGGAAGACUGACGUUUAUCAAAAUGUUACACAGACAACCUGAGAAUGAAAUGCUGAGCCAAAAUGAAUGGAUAUCAUCAAUAAUAUCAGUAAGUAAGUCAGAAUGGUCC